rnacentral:rRNA from 1 species
UACGUAGGGUGCAAGCGUUAAUCGGAAUUACUGGGCGUAAAGCGUGCGCAGGCGGUGAUGUAAGACAGGUGUGAAAUCCCCAGGCUCAACCUGGGAACUGCGUCCGAUACUGGAUGGCUUGAAUUCGGGAGAGGGAUGCAGAAUUCCAGGUGUAGCGGUGAAAUGCGUAGAUAUCUGGAGGAAUACCGGUGGCGAAGGCGGCAUCCUGGACCGACAUUGACGCUGAUGAGCGAAAGCCAGGGGAGCAAACGGG